UACGGAGGGUGCAAGCGUUGUUCGGAAUCACUGGGCGUAAAGGGCGUGUAGGCGGUCCGCUAAGUCUGAUGUGAAAGCCCGGGGCUCACCCCCGGAAGUGCAUUGGAAACUGACGGACUCGAGUCCCGGAGAGGAGGGUGGAAUUCCUGGUGUAGCGGUGAAAUGCGUAGAUAUCAGGAGGAACACCGGUCGCGAAGGCGGCCCUCUGGACGGUGACUGACGCUGAGACGCGAAAGCGUGGGGAGCAAACAGG
rnacentral:rRNA from 1 species